rnacentral:rRNA from 1 species
GACGGGGCCCGGCACAAGCGGUGGAGUAUGUGGUUUAAUUCGAUGCAACGCGAAGAACCUUACCUGGUCUUGACAUCCCGGAGACCCUUAGGAAACUAGGGGGUGCUUCCAUCUGGAAGAAUCUGGAGACAGGUGCUGCAUGGCUGUCGUCAGCUCGUGUCGUGAGAUGUUGGGUUAAGUCCCGCAACGAGCGCAACCCUUGCCUUUAGUUGCCAGCAGUUCGGCUGGGCACUCUAAAGGGACUGCCGGUGUUAAACCGGAGGAAGGUGGGGAUGACGUCAAGUCCUCAUGGCCUUUAUGACCAGGGCUACACACGUACUACAAUGGCCGAUACAAAGGGCAGCGACACUGCGAGGUGAAGCCAAUCCCGUAAAAUCGGUCUCAGUCCGGAUUGGAGUCUGCAACUCGACUCCAUGAAGUUGGAAUCGCUAGUAAUCGCGGAUCAGAACGCCGCGGUGAAUACGUUCUCGGGGUUU